GUGAUAGCUUCUUCAGCACAUGUACUAAAAUUAGAAUGAUAAAGAGAAGAUUAGCAUAGCAGCUGUACAAAGAUAGCAUGCAAAUUUGUGAAGUGUUCCAUAUUUUU